rnacentral:rRNA from 1 species
GUCGCAAGACCAAAGAGGGGGACCUUCGGGCCUCUUGCCAUCAGAUGUGCCCAGAUGGGAUUAGCUAGUAGGUGGGGUAACGGCUCACCUAGGCGACGAUCCCUAGCUGGUCUGAGAGGAUGACCAGCCACACUGGAACUGAGACACGGUCCAGACUCCUACGGGAGGCAGCAGUGGGGAAUAUUGCACAAUGGGCGCAAGCCUGAUGCAGCCAUGCCGCGUGUAUGAAGAAGGCCUUCGGGUUGUAAAGUACUUUCAGCGGGGAGGAAGGUGUUGUGGUUAAUAACC